GAUGAAGAACGUAGCGAAAUGCGAUAAGUAAUGUGAAUUGCAGAAUUCAGUGAAUCAUCGAAUCUUUGAACGCACAUUGCGCCCGCUGGUAUUCCGGCGGGCAUGCCUGUUCGAGCGUCAUUUCAACCCUCAAGCUCUCCGGAGUUUGGUGUUGGGGCGCCUGGGGCUUUUCGACCUCAGGGCCCUCAAGUCCAUCGGCGGGACCGCCAGGACACUGAGCGCAGUAGUAUUAUUUCGCUCGGUAGGAUCUUCCACGGCGGGUCGAUCUGGCCGCUAAACCCCCCAAUUCUCACCAAAGGUUGACCUCGGAUCAGGUAGGAAUACCCGCUGAACUUAAGCAUAUCAAUAACGGAGGA
rnacentral:misc_RNA from 1 species